GUUGAACGCUGGCGGCAGGCCUAAUACAUGCAAGUCGAACGAGUCGCGGACGGGUGAGUAAUGUCUGGGAAACUGCCUGAUGGAGGGGGUUCACUACUGGAAACGGUAGCUAAUACCGCAUACCAUCAGAUGUGCCCUGAUGGGAUUAGCUUGUUGGUGGGGUCACGGCUCACCAAGGAGACGAUGCAUCAUUGGUCUGAGAGGAUGACCAGCCACACGGGAACUGAGACACGGUCCAGACACCUACGGGAGGCAGCAGUGGGGAAUAUUGCACAAUGGGCGCAAGCCUGAUGGAGCCAUGCCGCGUGUAUGAAGAAGGCCUUCGGAUUGUAAAGUACUGUCAGCGGGGAGGCGUUACCCGAAGAAGAAGCACCGGCUAACUCCGUGCCAGCAGCCGCGGUAAUUC
rnacentral:rRNA from 1 species